rnacentral:misc_RNA from 1 species
GAUGAAGAACGUAGCGAAAGCGCGAAACGUAAUGUGAAUUGCAGAAUUCAGUGAAUCAUCGAAUCUUUGAACGCACAUUGCGCCCGCCAGUAUUCUGGCGGGCAUACCUGUUCGAGCGUCAUUUCAACCAUCAAGCCCCCGGCUUGUGUUGGGGACCUGCGGCUGCCGCAGGCCCUGAAAACCAGUGGCGGGCUCGCUAGUCACUCCGAGCGUAGUAGUUACAUCUCGCUCAGGGCGUGCUGCGGGUUCCGGCCGUUAAAAGCCUUAUUUACCCAAGGUUGACCUCGGAUCAGGUAGGAAGACCCGCUGAACUUAAGCAUAUCAAUAAGCGGAGGA